CAGAUCCCAAAACAGUUCACUGUUACAUGGGGCAGACAAUGAUACAUGUUCACCAUCUACCUCCAGGCUGUGUUCUCUCUCCUGCUCUCUGUCAUAAUAAAGGCUGCAGGAACUGGACCAUCCGGACCUCGGUAAAACAUCACAUUGGUCUGUUCUGUUAGUGAAGUAGGGUUUGUAGGACUGGAUAAAGAGGAUGUGGCUCUAUAGAGUAAGAGAUAAACCCUACAAGGAUGCAAGGACUCUAGAAGACAGGCUAUUCAGCCUAUUAAGUUUCAGGGGCUCACCACAUUGGUGUGGUUUUGAAGGAGCGGUCUGGGGCCUGCUGAGAUAGUCCCUGCAAAGUAAGGAACAUGUGAUCGCAUCUUGUACCUCUCACCAUUCAGAAGGAAGCGCAAUACCUGGUAAAUUUCUGCAGGCAGGAGUCAGCAUAUUUUACCCUAGUGCAGCCUAUUUUCUGAAUGACAUGGAAGGCUGUCAUUUCCUGAGCAGAUCCUCGUGGAAAAGGGCUCUGUAGUAGAUCCAGGCCGGACUGCCGGCUUCUCUGCCUUCCAGGUCAUAUGGCCCAGAAGACCCUAUGGUAUUAUAUGUAUCUGUGGCGGCAAAAGGUACCACAUGUUUAUGGCAAGCCCAGUGAAAUAAACACGAUCAGGACCCCUAGUGUUCUGGAGCAGAGCCAUUCAAUCAGCAACAGAGAAUUAUCGCCUUUUGAGAAUCUCCUUUUGGGGUGGGCACUGGUAGAGACCUGACCGUGGAACAUGAAGUGAUCCUGUAGCCGGAAUGGCCCAUUACAAGCUGGGAUCUGUCAGACCCCCCCAGGUCAUAAUGUCAGGUGGACUCGACAGCAAUCCAAAGUAAGGUGGUGCAUUUGGGAUCAGGCACAAGCAGGGCCAGAGGUCACAAAUAAGCUGCACAGGCAGGUGGCCUAGAACCCAUGUCAUCCACCAACGUUCCACCAACACCUCUCCUCCAUCUCACACCCACUGCUGCAUGAGGCUCCCUUCUGGCCAGCUGACAAGGAGGGAGAAGGCCACGCACGAUUCACAGACAGGUCUGUUUGGUAGGUGGGGAUAAGCUGAAAAUGGAGGACAGGGACAUUACAGCCUCACCCAGAGGUGACCUUUAAGACAAGAAUGAGGUGAAUCCUCCCAAUGGGUAGGGCUUGGGGCAGUGCACUCGGGCAUCCAUUCUGUGGACAAGAGAAGUAGCCUGAGGUAAGAAUAAAUAAAGACGAUGGGCAGUGGCAAAAACAGGAAGGAUAAAUAUUGAAAGACUGGGGACAAGGCAGUCUGGGAAAGAGGAUUGUGUGUGGGCCCAUGGAAAGGGGGACAGAGUGUGAAGAUCUUGCAUCAUAUGUUGACACCAGAAAGUAUCCAUCGUGGAAGAGGUACUAAACAACCAAGCGGGCAGCAUGACUCAGCCAGGUCAUCAGUCAGUCUGUGCCACCAGCUGUGGCAUAAUAGGCUCACAAUGAAGAAGCCAUGUGGCAGGAAUAGAGGUCCUGCAUUCACUAAAAGUGAUGUAGCUACUGCCACUGCUGAGUGUCCAAUUCUCCAGCAACAAAGGUCAACAUGGAGACAUCAGUGUGACACCAGCCUUCAAAGAGCCCCACCAGCCAUUUGGUGGCAAGAUAAUUAAAUUGGACCUCUUCUACAUAGAAGAAGAAGUAAUUCAUCUCGACUGGGACACAUAUUCCUGAUAAGAAGAAGAGGAGUCACCCUCCUGGCAAGUGAAUUGACUGCAACAUCAGAUGGAAGCAGAGCUGUUGUUACAGAAAGGACAGAGAGAAAUACAUUUGACUCUGGAGGUGACCCACUUGUGCGUUUCUUGAUGGCAAAUAGAUGCAGCAACCAUGAGGAAGAUGAGCACGGUGACCAGGGUCUUGGACCUCUUAGAGAUGGAGGUCUGGGCCAUCUCGCUAGUUUCCAGACUUGACUGGAAGAAGUCACUGCAGCUGUGGUGGAAACAGCAGGAGAACCAGAAUUAGAAGUGGAGCCUGAAGAUAUGAUGGAAUUGCUGGAAUCUCAUGAUCACACUUGAACAGAUGAGGAGUUGCUUCUUAUGGAUGAGCAAAGAAAGUAGUUUCUUGGUGGAGAUGCUGUGAAGACUGUUGA